ACACUUUUCACUAAAGGUGCAGACUCCUUGUGAAGAGCAUUACAGCCUGUGAAUUAAAGAGCAUUCCUCUGCAUGAGACAUGUGUUCAAGUGCAGAACUUGAAAACCAGGCCUUGGGUUUUGCAUGGAAAGACAAAGCUAUGAUUAAAACAUGACAACUCAAAUGACAUUUUGACAGAAAAAGAACAAGACCUGUUACCUUAAACAUAUAACCAUGAAAGUGAGCAAAGUGAGAGUCUGUGGGCCUGUUGAGCAUCUGCUACCUUGUCAAGACUGUCUCCUUGAGCUAAACUGUUGUCCAGGGACAACUGCCGGCAGCUACAAAAAUCAUCCUAUGGAGACUGCCUGCAGAGAGAAAACUCCAUACUGCAGCUUGUGUUGAAUGAGAGCUACCUAGUGUCUAUGAGAUGCCAGUCAGUUUCAAGACACUGAGAUUACUGUAGAAAAAGAGAGUAGAACAUCAUCUGAAGCAGGCAUGUGGGCACCAUAUGAUGAAGGUGACAGAAAAGGAAUGAUGUGCGACAUGAAAAAGCCAAGGAAUGCUGGGGCUCUCAGAAGCCACAGAUACAAGGAGGGAUCUUCCCCUGGAAGGUUUGGCCCGAGUAUUGCCUUACCUCACUCUUGGAUUCUGCCUAUAGAACAGUGUGAAUAAAUUUUUAAUUGUUUUAAACU